GGGCGAAUGGCGGAAUUGGCAGACGCGUUAGCUUCAGAAGCUAAUGAUCAUCAAUGAUCGUGGGAGUUCAAGUCUCCCUUCGCCCA
rnacentral:tRNA from 1 species